rnacentral:rRNA from 1 species
UGCCCUACGGGAGGCAGCAGUGGGGGAUAUUGGACAAUGGGGGAAACCCUGAUCCAGCGACGCCGCGUGAGUGAAGAAGUAUUUCGGUAUGUAAAGCUCUGUCAGCAGGGAAGAAAGAAAUGACGGUACCUGACCAAGAAGCCCCGGCUAACUACGUGCCGGCAGCCGCGGUAAUACGUAGGGGGCAAGCGUUAUCCGGAUUUACUGGGUGUAAAGGGAGCGUAGACGGUGAUGCAAGUCAGAAGUGAAAGCCCGGGGCUCAACUCCGGGACUGCUUUUGAAACUGUGUAACUGGAGUGCAGGAG